rnacentral:rRNA from 1 species
UACGGAGGGGGCUAGCGUUGUUCGGAAUUACUGGGCGUAAAAGCGCACGUAGGCGGCUUUGUAAGUUAGAGGUGAAAGCCCGGAGCUCAACUCCGGAAUUGCCUUUAAGACUGCAUCGCUAGAAUUGUGGAGAGGUGAGUGGAAUUCCGAGUGUAGAGGUGAAAAUUCGUAGAUAUUCGGAAGAACACCAGUGGCGAAGGCGACUCACUGGACACAUAUUGACGCUGAGGUGCGAAAGCGUGGGGAGCAAACAGG